UAAUCCUCGCCGAAAUAGGUCUGCCGACUAAUUUCACAAAGCUCUCAAUUUUCACCACCUCGUCAGACGGCUCAUGGCCGCUCUGCCUGCACAACCAACCGUCAGAUAAUCAUGCGAUCUACCGGUGGUUAGCAGAGGGUAAGGAUCUGCGGGUGGACGGCGGUUGGGUGGAUUUAAUUUCCCAUCCAAAUAAUCUCAUUAUCGUUAUUGUUCGCGCUGCCAUCUAAAACACCAUUAAAACACACACACGCGCCCUCUACUCGUUCCAACCCCCCCACGCUGAACAGGUAUUAGCACCAUGCCCUUUGCCGAACGUUCACGAGAUCAUGGUACUUUCUUUCAACCAUGGCGCUAGAGAGAGCGAUAAAAAUGCGGGAAGAGCACGGAGAAAAGAGGCCAAAUAGACAGGACCGAUAAGAUUCGUUACUCAGAAAUGGCUGCCUACGAAGAGAACGUCAGGCUUCAUCCUGGCCCUGGCUUCACCCUGCCAGAUGAUGAAGAUUAAAGGAGUUAUACGUACCCGGUCUUCUCGGAAGGUGGAAGAGAGAGAGAGAGAGAGCGUGUGUGGUGGAGCGUUCGGGAGCAGCCACAAGCAACCGGCCACAAAAUCGGAUCAGCUUGGCCCGGGUGAAGCACGUGUGCUAUUUUUAGAUUUCAUUCAUCAAAUUUCAAUGCACCUACACUUCAGGUGCAGAGUGCGCCCGUUUCCUGUUCGUGUGUUCUCUUUCACGAGUCUCCGCUGCCGUGAAGGGGCGCCAGUGCUGUCGCUUCUCGGCUUACCAAACGAAUGACACAAACGGGCGGUCAUUCGAGUAGCUCCCAGCUAGCAUAAGCACACAUUCUUCUUUCUUCGGUAUGUUGAGCACGACAAAGAUUGAUGUCAUCGCUAGCCAGUCGGCCAGCCAGCCAGCCUGCCAGCCAGUCCGCCACCGCCAUCAAACAAAAGGUGUGCAGACAUAAAAAGUAAAGAAAUAUAUCCCCCCGUACAGGUGGUACUGUACUCUGCGCAUGGGAUGAAGUUCGGCUCAUCCACCUCCAGGAUAGACGAAUUUUCUAUCUUUAUUUGAGUUUUUUUUUUCGUUUUGGCAGGAAGCCCAAUAGCUUUGUUUAACUGUUUCAUUUUGAUUACAAACCUUCAAAUAGAUCCUACGUUUUUGGCUGUUCAUUCUUCUUCUAUUUGGUCUCACUCUCUCUCCCUCCCAGCCUUUCAACUUUCUGCAAAUUCUUCACCUGUGACUCUGACACAGCAAGAAGUCAACACGGAGGACAUCAAACGAGCAGUAGGAUAGGUGUGGCUUUGUUUGGAUGCCAUAAGCAUCAGAGCGUGUAAAGUGUUGAGGGGCUAUGUUCUAUUUUUAGGCCUUUCGUUCGCAUCUCGUCAGGGCUCAGAAGAUCAUCUCUUCUGCAAUUCUGCAAACGAGAUAGGCUUCGUUCUUGUUUUUUCUCUCUCUCUCCUUCAAAGCGGAGGCGUGAAAUGAAGCAAAAGCAAAGUUUGCGUAUGUACGAAAAACCGGUGACAUUUCCACCUACACACGGACGAUGGGACCGAGUCACGUCAGGGUUGUUAAAAUACAAUUGCUCCCUUAUACAGCCGCCCGGCCGGCAGAGUAAGUACCUCAACACUUUUACGCUCCAGUGCUCGCGGUGUGAAAAGAGAUGCUAAUUUUAACAUUUUUGUAGCUAUUUUUCGCGCCAAGUAUGAAAAUCGACUUUUUCUUCUAACGUGGUGAAAGAUUUUAAAGCUAUUAUUGAAGCUUCAGCUAAUUAUGAUACAAACUUUUUGCUAGCGCAUGUCGAUGGAGACGCCUGGUGCCUCACGCUUACUAACUGGCUGGCGUUCUUUACGCCAGUUAGUUACCCGUGCUUUCAUUCCCUGCACAGGGGCGUGUUCGGGUGUGCAAUCGUUGUUUUGCUGUCCGACAAUACGCUUAUACCUACGUCAUGAGUUAAGGUACGAUGAUACUGCAGAAACCACCAGCAAGCACUACCUACAUCAAUGGGCUUUCUCAAGCGGAAUAAAGCUGGUGAAUGUAAGCAGAGCAGAGCUUGAGUUCUGCUGCGGUAAAGCCUUUGCUUGUCAGCAUGGAUUAGCACGGUACGAUUGCUGUACUGAUUGCUUGUGUUUCAGGCUGCAUGUGACGAUUGGGAUGUGUCCCUCUGAUUUUUUACUCAAGGUACACGGUAAAAAUAGGGACAGCAAUUGUUGCAUGCAGAAUGAACUUCCCCUUAGGCUCUCUCACUCACUUCUUUAACUGGCUCAAGCUUUAGCUCGUCCAUUGUGAGUGGAAAAUUUCCGAUAAUCAUUCAAAAGCAACUGAAUGGUUUGUUUCCAUCGAUUAAAAUAACAGGCGCUUCAGCUUCAUUUUCUCGCUUUAGUAUCAUGGAUCAUUGUUCUAUCCACAGCGAAGCCAAAUGCAGAAGCUUGUUAGGCACAGCAUUAUUUACUUUACCAAAUUCAAACCAAAUUCGUCAUAGAAAAAACGUAUAAUAAAUUAAACUCGAUGGUGUUUAGAGGAAAGGAAUUCAGACAAUUCUCAUCCCAUUAUAAAUUUGCUCCAGUAGUUGCUCUUUAAGAACCAUUCCCUUUAAUUUCAUUUUCCCCGAAUUUAAGACAUUCUUUACGCAACACACGAAUCAUGGUGGUUAAAAACACUUAAAACACAGUUCAUUACCUAAUGAUAAAGUACUUGAGCAGCGAAAAAAAGCCGCAACACACAACUUCCUCGGGAUCAAGUUUCUUUUGUACGCAACUUACAGCUUCCUCCGAAACAACACAAGUUCGUUUGACGUGAGGUCGCUCAACUUGGUUUAAGAUUCCUAUUAUGCGUCCCAGUUCUUGGCAGCCAGGAUUUUUUUGUUUUUUGCCGUCCGACUACCAGCCCAAUUGUGUGUUAGUUAGCAUUCAGGGUUUACGAGAAGGCCGUUGUUAAAGUUUGAAGCAAAUGACCCAGCUUAUGGCUAAUACUUCUCGAUUAAACCAACCGUACAGUGUGACGUGUUGUUUCGUCGUGUUACCAGUUAAAUCAAGACGCAUGAUGAAUGUGAGCGAUUGGGUAUUAUUUAUCUUCCUGCAAACACACCGUCACACUGGGUUUUGAUAGCUACAUGGACGAUGAGCGGGCAGAACAAUUGAAUCACUCACGCUUGUUUUGUGUUACGAGCGCAUUAAAGCAGAAUUUAUUAUGCUCCUACCAAGAGUGCGAACCGUUGCCAUCUGUCAAGCUCAAUAAAUAAACCCAAUGAGCACCUUGUUAAUGAAGUGUAUGUGUGUCACAUGUUGGCCACACGACGCACAAGCUAUCUAAAGGUUUUACUAGCUAGGAUCCCAUUUACGAGUAAAGUAGAAGCAUUUUUAUUUUAAUCAUUUCAACAAGCUGACCAUCUGAUAAAAAGCUUAUUUUAAAGAAAAAAAUCUGUUGAGCAUGUGUUUUGUUAGCUCUAACUUAAAAAAAAUGAGUUUAAAUCGAAUGGUACAAUUUUUGCUCCUAUUCCUGUAUGAUUCUUCACUCAACGACGGCCUCUAUUGCUCCUCCAUUAUCUCUAUUACUUGUAAUUAUACAGCCAUUAGUUUGCUGACCCAUGCAGCAAACUGUGUCACUGUUGACAGCCGCAAACAAUGAACACCUCACGACCGUAUAUCUCUUGUUGUUUAACUCAUUUGUCCUCACUAAUUAGCGCAAUUGCUAUUCCUCCGGUAACAGUUGCAUUCGUACACGGAGUUUAUGCAUCCAUUCUUUUUAUUUAUCAAGUUAGAAUUUAAAGCUACUAUAUUUUCUAUCAAGAAAUGAUAAAAGUCCUCCUCGUUUACGUUAAUGUUUUAUUCAAAGGAUAACUUUACUUGGUGGUAGAGGGUAUAGCGCCGUCUUUCUUCGCAAGGCAAGACUAGACUUCAAAUCCCAUCCAGGCCGUACUCUUGCAGUGAUUACUGGGACAAUAAAUAAUUCAACUACAAAAUAAUUCAAACGUCAAUUGACAAGAAUAUAAGAUAUUACUCAUAAAAAAUAAGUCCUUUCAAGACAUGAAAAGCCAGCUUACAUCUCUCUCUCUCGUAGAUGCCAUUCCAGACUAUUCAAUCUUCCCCAUCAGCCGGAAUAGUUCCAUCCAGCAUAUUCACGAGCAAAGAUUUGACAAACCCAUAAUGGUUUUGACUUCUCCAUUCAGAACCAUUCCACCUGAAGGCGAACAACAAAAGCGUCUGCCCUUGAACCUUGCCACUCUUGCCGCGAUUCCAAGAUUUACCUUUCACGCUUGCAAAAGUCAACACCAAUUGCGCCACGACACCCACGGAUAGCACGCUUUCCUAUUCAUUGGGAUUGUUUUCCACCGCCACCAGCUUGAGCGCACAUUUGGAUGAAAUGUUCUCCCAAGACCAAGAAAACGGCGGCCCUUGCGUGCAAAAUUGAUUCUCACCCGGGCUGAGGCCUUUUGUUGCCUAGCCUAGCGUUCUCUAGCCUUGCAUGUGUUGAGGCAAUGCUGUAGCUGUUUCGGUGUUUGCUUCUUCGGAGGGGAGGGGGGGAAUAAAACUCCACAAACGAGUCACUGAGUGAUGUCUGGUAAGGCUUUUGCUGCUUCUUCUUCGCUGCUUCUCCUGUAGCCUGCUGGACCAGUACAGGAGAAAUUGAAAUUAAUCAAAUUGUAAUUAAAACACAAGUCAUCUACCCACGGCAUUCUAGCGACCGGAUGGAUUGGACGAUGCGUGCGCUGGCCGGAUCGGGAUGCCGAUGCAUAGUGCCCGUCCCUGAAAUGACAUUUAAUUUACCUUGUUAAGCUAACUUUUAUCGCCUCGGGGAGGAGUUCUAACAAGGUGUGCAGCAAUUUGUAGUGUAAACAAAAGUUCUGAAAUGGCCUUUACGAUACACUCCGAUACAACCGCAUAACGAUCAAUCAUAAUCUUGCACUAGCUGUUCAAUACGAGCCCAUACCUUAAAGAGUUUAAACAUUUAAACGCUUUAAAGUGAAAAUAAAGCUCGGAAAGCUUGCUGGUACAACAACAAACAAACCCAUUGCUUUUCGGGGGUGCAAAAUGUCACACCUAAUUCAUUUUUAAACACACAAACACCCGUAUUUUGCCUUUGCCAACUCCUCCGAUGGAUUUCGAUGCUAAAGAUAAUACCCCGAGGGGUGUUUUAUUGCAAAAAUUCCUGCUCAAAAAAUGCUGACGUGAAAGUCAGUCGUCAGUCGACUGCUUGCGCGGAAAACAAUCACCGAGCACGAACGAAAUGAUAUUUUCAUGAUUUGCGCCGAGAAAACUGAAACGCCAAUCUGUUUCCACCGCACUGCCGAACGAACUCAGCUGACCCAGCAGACCCUCCCAGACCCGGUAGGGAUGACUGUGAUUUAUGACCCUCGGGGGAAUAACAAAAGCGUCACACACACACACACACACACACACACACACACACACACAAGCACAGAUGUGUGCACAUCUUUCAUGGGAUUCCGUGGGACUCGUCAGCGACAUAUCUAGAAGGUGGUGGCUUUGCAGUUUUCACCUGUUGCUUAAGCGUUCCGACGUUUGAAAAGAAUGGAAGAAGCAUUACCUUUUCUCGCCCUAUCCCAUCCGUCCAGCGUACGGUGUUUAACUGCCAUUUUGCAGUUUUCCAACAGAAGUUUGACUUUUUUUUUUGUUCCUGUCGGACAAAUAGUAACAUCCGAGUCAGGCGUACAUAAAAUCUUGGAUGCCCUUUCUGACAUCAGGUGCUUUGGCACGGAAGCUAUUUUUAAGUUCCUCUCAUCCAAAAAAAGGCUUUAUCUAGUAAUGCUCACUAAUGCAAUCCUCCGUAGGAUUCUCCUUUUACUGUUGCCAUUCCCUUUGUGACAACGCAAGAAUUUGAUCGCGGUCUACGCGCUUGGAAAACUACCCUUCAAUUGCCUUUUAUUACCGCUCUUGGUGAAGUUUCUUGUGUGUGAGUGGAUAAUAUUUCUGGCUUAAUAAAUUUAAGCUUGUUCUUUGUUUUUGACAGAUAUUAAAACUUUAUUUAUCAGGUUUUUUGUUUUGCUCUUCUGAGCUGCCACAUUUUUCUUUAUCUUACUUAACACAUCUACUCAUUCGACUACUCAGCUCGUGUUGCAUUUGUGGCGAAAUAUCGGUUCCUGACCGGUUCGAAUGAUGCUUCUAUCUCUCUGAAGACCAUCCCCGUCUGGCUAACACACUUUGGUCACUUUGGAAGUGAAAAUAAUGAAAUAAAGAGAACCUAAAUUGAUUUAUUCGAUUCCGGCUCCGAUAAACGACAUCGAGACGGUGGCGUUGCUUUCGCUUCGGUUAGUUAGAAAUAGCUGAAGUAGCGGUAGGAAUGUUUCGAUGACCGUUUGGCGCUAACUUUUGAUGUAUGUUUCGAUAAUCUUAUUGAGAAGAAGCGAGCCAGCGUGGCUGCUUCUUGACUAGGCAACUGGUUUAAGAUAAUGCUUGGUCAUGGUGAUGUUAAAAUAAUUCCUCUUUAAGAUUAUGUCGUUGCUACCUUCGGCUUAGUAAUGAUUAUUUACCGGCCUAGAGAUAUUCCAUAGGAGGUCUUCAUAAUAAUCGGUCUUAGUCUGCAGCAGUCGUCAGCUAUACCACGCUUUUCUGACGAAGGCAUUGCAUCGCAGUUUUGACCCAAUACACAGCCUCUUUUUCCAUAAGAUUUGUCAGUAUAGGUCACCCAAUGUCUUUCGCUUGACAUAAUCAGCCCAGGAAAUCACAGCGAGGAUUCGAAUCUCCUAAUGGGGAGAAGAAUCCGAGUUCGAGUCCCGACCUUUACGACUAUCAAAUCCUAAGCGAAUCAGACAUUUGCGAUCGAAUCCGAAUCUUUCUAAGGAUUGGAUAUUCGGAUCUUCUGAGUCCCGUAUCUCGCAACACUACACUGGAGCCUAAUUCGAUGUAAAAAUACUAACACUAGGCUCUUAAAAAACGCAGUACAAAAGCUUGUUACGAUUGUCACAAUGUUUGUAUAUUUGAACAUUUGUACUCCAUAAACCAGCUGCUACUAGCUACCAGAGUGGCUCGGUGGUAAAGGCCAAAGCGGCGCCGGUCUUCACAUGGUAGGACCGGGGUUCAAAUCCCAUCCAAACUGGACAUCCAUAGUGAGGACUGACUAUACAACCACGUGGCCGUGCCAGAAAUGGCAGGCAUGACCUAGGCGGUCGUUAGGCAAAAGAAGAAAAAACCGGCCACUACACCUGUUAGGUACGCAUCUCUAAAUUUCUUUUACAUAGGCCCGAGCGAGUUUAGUGUCACAGGAACAGAAUAGUUCUUUCUUAACCCUGGAUUUAACAAAUUUACGACAUUAAUACGCAUUUAUCCACCCAUUUAUUUGUAACAGGUUCCAAUUCGGAAAUUGCUUCAAUUGCCUUUUCAAAACCCCGAAAGCUAUUGUUGCGUAAAGCCAAACGCCACUCCAGGAAAUCUCCACAAAACAUUAGCCAGUUCGAUACUUUACGGUCACUAAAUUGGCCUGUGAGGGUGAGGGGGUUUGGGUGAACAAGCAAAAAGAUCCCAAAAAUUAUUACACUCUGAAAAAACCCCCCUGGAAAUCCAAUCUCACCUAAAAAAGGCCGAAGCUCAUCGUAAAAUCGAACACAUUAUUUGGCGCUUAAGAUGUCCGCCAUUUCGUGUAGCUCGGAGGUAAGCGCUACUGCCAAAAUCACUUCCAAAUCCCGUAUCUUGCGCGUCAUGGGCUGUGAACUUUUAUUGGGGCGUGUGUCUGUCUUUUCCAUCACCCCGGCCAGGAAUGGCGAUUGUUCGUUUCGUCGAAAGUAAAACGUUCCCAGCAGCGAUGCGAUGUUCAUCCUGAGAGAUGAAAAUAUUAAACCAUUUUACAGCAAAAUUAGAUUAAACCUCGACCAUUCGGUCCCCCCAUCCCCGGUCACACACACACACAUACACUUUCUAGUGUCGGUGGAAAAUUGUCGGGAAAUGUAUUUUUGACGCUCGAGAUAACUCGACACGAGAUCGUUCCAUCGCUAUCCGCAACGGCCAGACAACGAAUUCGUUUUUCUUUUUUCGUUUCGUUUCUCCUCGAGCGGAUCGCGAAAAGGGUUCCGUUUCGGUUUGGAACAACGGUCCAAAGGGGGUUGUGUAUGUGUGUGUGUGUGUGUGUGUGUUGGCGGUGAACCGAUUCGCAAAGUUUGGAAAACAAGCAAGACGCCGAGAUAUUUUCCUUUUUAACGCGAAUGAUAAAUAAUGGGAAAGCAGAUAUCCCCACGAGACGGCCACUAUUGCCUCUCGUUAGCGGAGAUUCUCGUCGGCCAGCGGAUCAAAAUGCCAGCGAACGGAUAAUGGAGCUGGAGUUGUGCUUUUGAUACUCUUUUUUUGUAGCCUCCACUGCUACUUUCCGCCACAUAGCUACAUUCAACAAGCAUCCCGUGGCACGUGGCACUUACCAUGGCGCUUCUUUAACACAAAUUAGUCCAUCCUUUUAGGGGAACGAGCGUUGAAGGUUUGUCAUCAAUUUAGGGCGCAGGCUUGCGGCUCAGAAAAACAACAACCAACCAAAAGAAGGCCAACUGUAAGAUGCGCGAGGCUUUGCAUAAAAAUAUUGUUCAAACCAAUUUUUUUGGGCUACCGCUGUUUCAAGGGCACACACAUAAGUUAUGGUAACUUUGGUGGAAAAACAAACGGGAAGAGCCAGCAUCAUCCUCAAUCUGUCCGAGUUCCGGGUUCACAGCCCAGGCCGGCUGGCUGAGCAAGCAAAAACUCGAAACCCGCAUGGCAAUAUAGCAUAGAUGCACAUACAUACCAUUCAUAAAAUUCAAUUUGUUGCACCUAAUUAGGAUGGGAUUGAGAAGAAGGAAGCCAGCACGCAUCGUCAGAAAAAAAUGGUCCGAACCCCUGGUCUUGGGGAUUUUUUACUUAACCGUGGAGCGAAGAAGAGAGAUAGAGAGGUGGCGUCCAAAACGAGAGAGAGAGCGAAAGAGACAGGAUUAAAUCACAAAAUCAUUCCCUUCUUCCUAUUACGACCCGUUGGCCGGUGAAGGAAAGGUUAACCUUUCGGAAAGAUUUUCCCAAACCAAAAACCGGAAGGUCGCUCCGGUGAUGAAAAUGCAUGCCAUUUUUUGCCAUCCCAUCCUGACCCCAUCUGGAUAGGGGGGAGGGGGAAUAAGGGGAGUUUCCCAUCAGCUGCUCGUAAAAAAUCGCACCGAAAGAUCCCGUUUGCAUUUUUUAUAGCACAAUGAAACACGUAGCCGCGUUCGGAUGGUUUCUGCCCGUGGUUCGGCAAACCCCCAGGCAAACCCAACCACAAGGUCACUCUUUUACAAAAAAGGUAUCCCUUCCAUGUCAUACCACCCAGUUUACCGCAAACUACCACCAGAUCGCGCCAAGUGAUAGGCGGAGGUAUUAUCCAUGUCGGAUGACAGAUUUCCCCGUCUUCGUUCGGCGGAAGAUCUUAAGAAGAUUGUCUGUCUCGUGCACCUCGCCACCGGUUCCGGUAAAGAUUUGCCCAAAGUCCAUUAAAAAUUGAUCCACUUCAGGGUAUCGGGACAUCGCGACCUGUCAAGCCACAUCCACCGUGCACGAGGCUGAUUUUCGGCGGACACCAGCUAGGCAGCCGAUUCCGGAGGAAGCUCACCAUUCAUAAGAAGAUAAACAUUGUCCGGUUCCCUGCCCCAGCCUAGUUGAGGGACACUGUCAUUUGCUUGAAAUCUUUUCUUGCAGUUGGAUUUGGUUCGAAGGAAUUUUGAGGAAUUUUGAUUUCGUGUGGGCAGGAGUAUAAUUAAAAAAAAUAAAGCUUGUAUUUCAUGUUUUCGCGGUAUUUAUGAUAUCUCGAUGGUUAUGGUUAUGAUACUUGUUCCCUUAGACCAAGCUUAAUCGGAUAUUCCUUUUAAGCUAGAGACUCCCGCAACAGUUUGCCCGUUACAAGCUUACAAGUUGUUUGUAAAUUACGUUACGCAUUCUCUCGAUGCGGCCUUUUAUGUUACCUCCUUUCGCUCAUCUCGUAAUUCCCUUCAGAGCAAAGGUAUUGGUCUAGGGAGCUCAAAUAAUCAAACUUCUAAAUGCCACGCAGUGCGUUGAUGUCAAACUUCGUCCCACACAGUUGAGUACAUUCUGACCAAAAAAACGCACACACAACACCCUCCUGGGUUGCUUCAGUUGGGGGUCCGACAAUAUCCGCUGACGCCAUGAACGUUGUCGUUGGUUGCGUGGAAUCGAAUUACACAGCAACCCCCCAGUGGACGUAACGCAGGGUGCGGUCAAACCGACGACUAAUAGUUUUCGUCCUUCACAGGGCUUGGCCAAAACAGACAGGAAAGUGUAGCACACCCCCAGCCCCGAGUUGCUUCCCCUUUUCGGCACGCCUUCGGCCCUCGGCAUCUAACGUCAUCAACGCAAAACUUUAUACCACCACGCGAAGGCGUUUAUUUAUCGCUCGCUUACAUCCCACUGACGCUAUCGCGUCCUUUGCCUGCGCUUAUAAAACAACGAUCAAACAACGGCUCCCCGAUCGGGUGCAGGGUCGCGGUGAGGAUUGGGGGACAUGUGGGCUGGUCGUAAUGGGACGUAAUGACGUCACUACUGUGACGCCUUCAUUAGACGUGAAUUAUCCAGUGCUUCGGUGUCCUGGUCGUUUGCCGCUUAGAUUAUAGUGGCACCGGGCAGCCAACCCUUCUGAGCUGAUUCCCCCGCUGUUGAAUUCGUAAAUCGAACUUUCCAGCCCAUUGAUCCCGGGGGCCGGUGAAAUACUCCCCCGUGAAGACACUGUAGUUGUUCCCCUGCUGGGACUUUCACAGCGCUGGUCUUCCCUGAUGCUUCCCACACGGCAGCCAGGGUGACAGUUUAGCGACGAAAAUAUGUUUUAUGGACCGUACCAUAACUGAUGGUCUGUGAACGAGGGAACGAAACCGGGCGUUCAAUAUUUAUCACCGUACGUCAUCCACGUCUGGUCCGGUGCAGUUGUCCAGCAUUUGGCACCAUUUAUUUGGGGUGAUAAAUAUGAGGCGAUAACGUCGCGCUAUCGGCUCGGGUUGACACAGUAUAAUGCAUUUUUUUUCUUUUCGGAGUAUCCAAAACGCCGAUUGGAUCGUUCAUAUGUAGAAGGUCACAUGUUUUAUGGGGCAUGUGUUACAAUUGCGUAUGCGUGAAAUAUCUCACUAGUCAUUAUAUUGAUGGAUUUAUGAAGUGAGACACCUUCAACGCAUAGGUUAGAGCAUGUAUCACAACAAGAGCAACCAUUAACAGAUAAAGACAUGUUUUUUUUCUAAUACCAUACAGAAUCAUUCAACUCCAUCCCACAAUAAGCGCUAAGCUUCGUAGAGACACAGUGGUUUAGUUCACUUUUAAUUAUUGUUCUAUUUUUCAAAUCCGAAAACUCCGAGAUAACAAGGUGUGUUUGCAUAUUUUAAUGCAAUUAAUAUUAUGUUCAUAACCAGAAUGACACUAAAAAUAACACAGAAGAAUUUUAUAGCAAAGGAGUCUAACACAAAACUACACAAAACAGUAGUACAAGAAACAAUACACUGAAGAAAAGUAAUAACAAAGAUAAGAAAGGAUGAAAAAGAAAAACAAACACCCAAAGUAUCAUGAAAGAUAAAAAAAUUGAAAAAGAAAAUCCAAAACUAAUAAAAUUAGCACAAAAGCUAAAGAGUUGAAAAAGAGAGAAAAAAAAACAAGGAAAUGUAACAACAACGAUAAAAGUAUGAAAAGGAACAAAAACAAAAACUAUGAAAAGUAACAACAAAGAUAAAAAAGAUAUGAAAAGAAAUGAAAAUCUGUGACAAGUAGCUACAAAUGAAAAAUAAGGGGAAAAAGAAAAACAAAACUAGAAGAAAACAAAGCAAACUCACCUAAAAAAAGCAUCGAGAAUAUAAACGAGAAAAUCAAAUUAAGGGACGAUGUAUGGAACAAAAGUAAAAAACCACAAUCACAAGAUCGAUUGAAAAGCAAACAACAAAAAUGCUAACAAGCUCAUUAUGAAUGAAAAAACAAACAACCCAAACCAAACCAACAAAACAAAAAAAACGAAAAGCUUACUAUAACGCACUUUUUCUUAAGUGUUGUGAUGCACCACCAGAAAGCACCAUUAACAAUUGCACUUAAAUAUUUAGCCACGUAAGUAAACCACCAAACCAGCAACUGAUAUUUGCACUUUACCAAAAAAAAAACAUACAAACAAACCAAAAGACAGCUAAAGCCAUUGCGCCUAGCGAGUUCAUACAUCGCUGAGCUGAGCCCCCGAUGGCAGUGGGAAGCAGGGCACUAGUUUUAUCGACGUGAGUACGUGUACAUUUCCCAAGUUUAGAAUAUCUUUUUUAUUCCUGUUAUAUUCACGAUAAAGCACAUGGGGCGAUGUGAAAUGAACUGGCAGGUGGCGCUGAACAACUCAACACUAAUCAGCACUCAGCGUGUGAAGUGAAAAAAAAACAGCAGAAAACCAAAGAAAAGUUUCACGCACACACACACGAUGGGCGAACCAAAAGUGAGUGGUGUGAUUAUCGAAAAGAAAGAAAAAGGGAAAACGGAAAAAGGGGCGGAAAUGUAAAACAGAUAACGAAAGCAGUGAAAGAAUAUUCAAACAAGAAAAGAGAAGAAAAGAAACAAACAAACGAUCGUAACCAAAAGCCUAAAACAUAGCAUUAACCAGGUGAAAACAAUUCAUUUUAACGAGCCUAAACAAAAAAAAACAAAGAGCGGACAAACUCAAGCUCAGCCCCCACCCCAAAAAGGCAGAUGGGGGGGGGGGACGAAAGAAACAAGGUUGAACGUGAUAAAACGAUGAAAAAAGACUUGCUGUAAAUAAUCAUUUAGUCACUUAAAACCCGAUAUCUCGGAGCUCGGAUAUCGUUUAACGCAUUUGCUGCUGCUGCUGCAUAUGGGCAGGAGGAUCAAAAGGCGACGCAGUAAAACUCUAAAACGAACGACCGUGGAGAACAUGAUUCCUAAAACCGAUCCAGCGCGGAAAAUAAUGGUAUAAACGUGUAAACUAUAUAUAUAUAUAUGCCCAUAAACAAAUUAAACCAAAUAUUACACUACAAAACCUCCCACACAAAACCGCGAUGGUGAACUAGGGUGGAAUAUUCCAACCCAAAACACUUGGCAAAUUCAACGUUUAAGUCCCCCGAAGAAAAAAAAGUCAAUCCUCUAAUGAUCUUAAAAAAAACACAUUUAAACUUUGCCUGCAAAAUGCAACUAUCGAGCUACUCAACAAACAAAACAAAAAACUACUGCACAAACGACGGGAGAAAUACAAACCGCGUUUUCCACUACUUCGUUCGCGUAAUACAACAAAUUAAAACAAACACACACGAACACACACACACACACAAAACGGUAACAUGACAAUCGACACCGGCCAAUGUGAAUGAGCUGAAAUACAUUAAACCAAUAAAAAAAGAUAUUCACAACAACAACAAAAAACCCCAACCCGUUCCACCACAAAUGAGCACCGAACCCUUGUGACAAAGGAUGGACCGACUGUUAAGGUCAGCGAAACCAAAGGAAGCGAUCGGAAGCUAGUUCCAAUUACUACGCAUGCCAUGCAACAUUCAAAACCAAUCGAUAGCGAUACAAACACAAGCGAAAAGAAAAACCAACAAACCAACGCUAGAACUAUUCAUUCCGUUAUAAAACAAAAAACAAGUAAAAUAACCCCAGCACGAGGUGGAGCAAAGGUGACGCAGCUAACUGUGACUGUUUAGAGCAAUUAGAGCUGGAAAAUUCAAAUAGGAAACGAUGCAAACAAAGCAUAACCACACACUAGUUAAUACAGAACAACCACAACAACAAAAAAAGGCCAGCCCAACCCACUUUAUCGAUGUGUGUUAUACAGGAACAGUGUAAGAAUGUGCGAUAAAAAUGAAGGAAAUAUCGUCUCUUUUUUAUUUUCUUUCACUUCAAAGCCAUGCGAAAACAUUAGAACACAACUGUAAAACAAUCUGCACCUUGAGUUUACUCUUUCGCGCAACAAGCCAACCAAAAGCAACACAAACAAUAAAGAAAAGUGUUACAAAUAACAAAGCAAAACUUGCAGUCAAAGGUAACAAUUAAACAGAAACAACAAGUGCAAGAGAAAAGGAGAAAAAACUGCACCACCACUGGCUAGAGCUGGUGGCAAAAGUUGUGUGUCUCAACUGCACUAUCAAAAAGGAAAGCAAAGUGUGCAACAGUGCAAAAAGGCAAACUACGACCGUACGACACACGCUAGAAAGAAGCAGCAACAAAAAGUAAACAAACAAACAAGGAACUUUACCUACGCCUACCAUUCGCACAACGGUGUAAAGGCAAAAUUGUUUAUUCGCACGUCAUAGAAAUCGGCACAAAAACACACUCUCAGACACAAAAAAACCCCCAGUGAAGCAGUUGACAAAAGCAAACAAUACAAAAUAUUACACAGCAAGCAGAGCAGUUAUAAAGGGAAACAUUGGCUAAUUCAAACAACAACAAAAGCGGGAAAAACAAAACAAAAGAGAUAAAAGAACAAACAAACUUGUAUAAUACUUCACCAAACAACAGUGAAAGGGAAACGGAAGAGUAAAAGAGAAAAA